UACGAAGGGGGCUAGCGUUGCUCGGAAUUACUGGGCGUAAAGCGCACGUAGGCGGCUUUCUAAGUCGGGGGUGAAAUCCUGGAGCUCAACUCCAGAACUGCCCUUCGAUACUGGAAGCUCGAGUCCGGGAGAGGUGAGUGGAACUGCGAGUGUAGAGGUGAAAUUCGUAGAUAUUCGCAAGAACACCAGUGGCGAAGGCGGCUCACUGGCCCGGUACUGACGCUGAGGUGCGAAAGCGUGGGGAGCAAACAGGG
rnacentral:rRNA from 1 species